AUGGAAAUGUUCUUGACUUCCCCUGCAUAUUGUGCAGUCAGUGCGAUCUCUGUUGGUAUAUAAGAUAAAUCUUAGCACUUUUGCUGUGCUGUAUUUAUAAUACUAUUGUUAUUAAUAACAAUGAGAUUUUUUGUGUCAUUAUUGAUUCUAUUGGAAUUUCGCAAUUCUUGGGAAGGAUGUGAUAUUGGUUGGAUACGACAUCAUACAAAAUGUUACAUGUUCAGUAACACAACAGCAACCUGGGCAGAAGCUGAGAGCAUCUGCAACGCGUUUCACUCUAUUCUGGCUGAACCAAGGUCACAUGAUGAAUCCGUGUUUCUGAUAAGUCAAAGUGAAAAUGAAGUUGGACACUUCUGGAUUGGGAUAUCAGAUAUAAUAAAAGAGGACAGAUGGGUUUACUCCUCCGAUUUGCAACCUGUCAGAGUAACUGAUUUCUCUCCUGGGCAACCUAACGAAUAUACCAGUGCAAACUGUGUAGCACUGAGGAAAAUAUUUCAUGGAUACUGGGGCGAUUUACCGUGCUCGGAACAUUUCAACUUUAUUUGUGAGAGGAUGGCAAAAUUGACUGGGGAUGUAAUUGGUUGAAAUCAUAGGAAUAAAAAUAAAUGAUUACAGUUU
rnacentral:misc_RNA from 1 species